AAGACACCAAAAGAAAUGGUCAUCGUCCUAUGCCGUUCCAGAAAAUUUAAAUGGCACAAGAAGGCUUUUAGAUUGCGGCUUCCCUUCCAUCAAAAUAAAGGACUUGUUCUGGUGUGUCCACUUCUCAUCCUUCGACGUAACGUGCUGAUGAGUCAUUUAUGCCCUCUGCCUAACCUUAGCUUUGAACUCGAGGAUUUCCCGUAAUCUGAGCCGGAAGGUAGAGAAGGUGAAGAUAAGAACAUGAACGAGUUUUCUUUGUAAGGUAUAUGAACUUAAACUG